UACGUAGGGCGCAAGCGUUGUCCGGAAUUAUUGGGCGUAAAGAGCUCGUAGGCGGUUUGUCGCGUCUGCUGUGAAAACCUAAGGCUCAACCUUGGGCUUGCAGUGGGUACGGGCAGACUUGAGUGUUUCAGGGGAGACUGGAAUUCCUGGUGUAGCGGUGAAAUGCGCAGAUAUCGGGAGGAACGCCGGUGGCGAAAGCGACUGUCUGGGGUGCAUGUGACGCUGAGGCGCGAAAGCCAGGGGAUCAAACGGGG
rnacentral:rRNA from 1 species